AUCCAUCCCUUAAAAAGAAUUACAACUUACAUUGCAAAGUUGUUGGGCACGUGUUGAGAUGUUUUCAAUUUCAUCACACCAUUUUCGUAUAGGAUGUAAUACCUAGCAAAAACGUACGAUUUUGAACUCUAUAGAUUACAAUUAAAUUAUAUAUAAAGAGAAAAAUUAUUUAAGCUGUCUUUAUCGUGUAAUAUCGGUAAGUUUUAAUAUUAUUUCUCAGUAUUUUAUCCAACAAUUAAAAAACAUUACCAACAUUAUUAUCAGACGGUACAAUCAUUAUUUAAUAUGUCUAGUACAUAAGUCAAUAUUUAUUUCUACAUAACACUAUGUUUUAAUCAUAGUUGUUUUUAUUUUUAUUUAUCUUUUUAUUAUAUAUAAAAAUUAUAACUUUGAAAAAUGUUUAAUAAUAGCGGGCAAAGCCAGGCGUAACAAUAGUAUAUCGAUAUUGCUAUUUCGUUUUGAUGUUUUGAUCCAUCCCUUAAAAAGAAUUACAACUUACAUUGCAAAGUUGUUGGGCACGUGUUGAGAUGUUUUCAAUUUCAUCACACCAUUUUCGUAUAGGAUGUAAUACCUAGCAAAAACGUACGAUUUUGAACUCUAUAGAUUACAAUUAAAUUAUAUAUAAAGAGAAAAAUUAUUUAAAAUCUAAUCUGAUUUCACACCUGACUGUUGCAGCUGUCUUUAUCGUGUAAUAUCGGUAUUUAACAAAGUCUAGACGUAGAAUUGAAUAUGUCACGCUCACCUUCCUACAGUCCUGUUUUAGAUAACAUUGACCAACAACGUAACAAUUUGAUAGAGAGCUCAGAUCCAGUUUUUAAUCCAUUUUACUAUGCUCAAGACCGAGAGAGCUGGUACGCCGAAGUGUCGGCACAGGCAUGUGAGGAGAGUAGACAGCAAGAAAUAGAAAAGGAAAAAUUAAAGAAGAAAAAAAAUAAAUCAAAAUCUUUUAAAAACAAAUCCUUUGUCAUGCGUAAAGAGUCCGGGACCGUUCGCCGAAUAAUAAAAAUAAUUGUACAUGAUGUGGAUGGUCGUCAUAUGGACGAAAUAGACAGUGAUCCAGAUAGUGCAAGCGUCAAUAUACAAUAUUUAGUGCGAAGCGAUAUUGAUGAAAUCAUGAGUGAAACUGAGUAUUUAGUUACUAAAAUAGUUAAAAAGUUAAGUUCAACUUCAUGUAAUUGAUAUUUAAAAUAUAAUCAUUCUAAAUAUUA